UGGGGAAUAUUGCACAAUGGGGGAAACCCUGAUGCAGCGACGCUGCGUGAACGAAGAAGGUAUUCGUAUCGUAAAGUUCUGUCCUAUGGGAAGAUAAUGACAGUACCAUAGAAGAAAGCUCCGGCUAAAUACGUGCCAGCAGCCGCGGUAAUACGUAUGGAGCGAGCGUUGUCCGGAAUUAUUGGGCGUAAAGGGUACGCAGGCGGUUUAAUAAGUCGAAUGUUAAAGAUCGGGGCUCAACCCCGCAAAGCAUUGGAAACUGAUAAACUUGAGUAGUGGAGAGGAAAGUGGAAUUCCUAGUGUAGUGGUGAAAUACGUAGAUAUUAGGAGGAAUACCAGUAGCGAAGGCGACUUUCUGGACACAAACUGACGCUGAGGUACGAAAGCGUGGGGAGCAAACAGG
rnacentral:rRNA from 1 species